CAUCAUCCAAAUAUCCAAAAUCGUUUAGUCAAUCCUGCCUCACCUGAUUCAGAACAACUUCAGCAUAAAAGAUGCUCAUGCAGCUCAGGCUGCUAUAUUCUUGCGUGCCUUUAAUAACAGGGGACCAUAGUUAACUUGAAAUCUCUACAGUUUCAAAGAACAAGUUAUAAGUAGUUCUACUUUGAAUGGUCUCUGUAUAUUCCUUUGCAUAAGAUGCACCAACAGUGCAGCCUGAACCAGUCUAGGAUGUACCAUUGGCAUACCCAGUGAAUGUGAAACGUCCAUCACAAAACCCACCAGUUACAGGAUGGAACACUGGAAUCACAAGUUUCCAUGAAGUCUGGAAUCACAAUGGCAGGAGUCAUCUGGUGUGUGUCUGCAUGUUCGUGAGAAAAAAAGGAGGUGGACUGAAAAUACUGGAGACCCGUAAGCCAUCAUCACACUUCUAAAAAUAUGUAAGAUUGGAAAUGAGGACUAUUAGAUCAACAGUAUUGUGAAGAUUUGGGGACACAGAGUGAAAGACGAAAUACUUGUUCUCCAGACUUGGCUACAUUUUCUCCACUAUCUCAUACAGAAUAAUUAGCCCUGAUGCCUCUGAACUGACUUCAUUAUUAAAUUUUCAUUAUUUCUGCUUGCC